GACGAACGCUGGCGGCGUGCUUAACACAUGCAAGUCGAACGGAAAGGCCCUGCUUUUGUGGGGUGCUCGAGUGGCGAACGGGUGAGUAGCACGUGAGUAACCUGCCCUUGACUUUGGGAUAACUUCAGGAAACUGGGGCUAAUACCGGAUAGGAGCUCCUGCUGCAUGGUGGGGGUUGGAAAGUUUCGGCGGUUGGGGAUGGACUCGCGGCUUAUCAGCUUGUUGGUGGGGUAGUGGCUUACCAAGGCUUUGACGGGUAGCCGGCCUGAGAGGGUGACCGGCCACAUUGGGACUGAGAUACGGCCCAGACUCCUACGGGAGGCAGCAGUGGGGAAUAUUGCACAAUGGGCGGGAGCCUGAUGCAGCAACGCCGCGUGCGGGAUGACGGCCUUCGGGUUGUAAACCGCUUUCGCCUGUGACGAAGCGUGAGUGACGGUAAUGGGUAAAGAAGCACCGGCUAACUACGUG
rnacentral:rRNA from 1 species